rnacentral:rRNA from 1 species
AUUGAACGCUGGCGGCAGGCCUAACACAUGCAAGUCGAGCGGAUGAAGGGAGCUUGCUCCUGGAUUCAGCGGCGGACGGGUGAGUAAUGCCUAGGAAUCUGCCUGGUAGUGGGGGAUAACGUCCGGAAACGGGCGCUAAUACCGCAUACGUCCUGAGGGAGAAAGUGGGGGAUCUUCGGACCUCACGCUAUCAGAUGAGCCUAGGUCGGAUUAGCUAGUUGGUGGGGUAAAGGCCUACCAAGGCGACGAUCCGUAACUGGUCUGAGAGGAUGAUCAGUCAAACUGGAACUGAGACACGGUCCAGACUCUUACGGAAGGCAGCAGUGGGAAUAUUGGACAAUGGGCGAAAGCCUGAUCCAGCCAUGCCGCGUGUGUGAAGAAGGUCUUCGGAUUGUAAAGCACUUUAAGUUGGGAGGAAGGGCAGUAAGUUAAUACCUUGCUGUUUUGACGUUACCAACAGAAUAAGCACCGGCUAACUUCGUG